UCCGUUUGGGCUCAAGGCGGGACCUUCAGGCGCAGGUGGAGAGGCGGCAGGGACAUCUGCCGGAGAAGGAGCGGCCGACGGUGGAGUAGUGGCGGGGGCUGGGGUCGCGGCCGGUGGUGAACUGGUGGUUGGGGCUGGGGUUGCGGCUGGUGGUGGGGUGGCCAUUGGAGGAGGAGUGGCGGCGGGAGGAGGAGUUGCGACAGGAGGAGGAGUAGCGGCUGGCGGCGGAGGAGUGGCGGUCGGAGUAGGAGCUGGUGCUUGAGCAAUUGCUGACGUGGCGAAGAGAGCCAAUAUCAAGAAAACUUGGACAAUUUUGGAACCCAUCUUAAUUUGUCCCUCUUUCUCGAGGAAAUGCU
rnacentral:lncRNA from 1 species